rnacentral:piRNA from 1 species
UGGAAGUUUUGACCACAGCUCUUU